rnacentral:sRNA from 11 species
AAAUGUAAAUAUGUGGGAACAAUUAUAGAAUUGUGACAUUU